UAGCUUGCUAUCAGGCGUCGAGCGGCGGACGGGUGAGUAAUACUUAGGAAUCUACCUAGUAGUGGGGGAUAGCACGGGGAAACUCGUAUUAAUACCGCAUACGACCUACGGGAGAAAGGGGGCAGUUUACUGCUCUCGCUAUUAGAUGAGCCUAAGUCGGAUUAGCUAGAUGGUGGGGUAAAGGCCUACCAUGGCGACGAUCUGUAGCUGGUCUGAGAGGAUGAUCAGCCACACCGGGACUGAGACACGGCCCGGACUCCUACGGGAGGCAGCAGUGGGGAAUAUUGGACAAUGGGGGAAACCCUGAUCCAGCCAUGCCGCGUGUGUGAAGAAGGCCUUUUGGUUGUAAAGCACUUUAAGCAGUGAAGAAGACUCNNNGGUUAAUACCCNNNGACGAUGACAUUAGCUGCAGAAUAAGCACCGGCUAACUCUGUGCCAGCAGCCGCGGUAAUACAGAGGGUGCAAGCGUUAAUCGGAAUUACUGGGCGUAAAGGGAGCGUAGGUGGCUCGAUAAGUCAGAUGUGAAAUCCCCGGGCUCAACCUGGGAACUGCAUCUGAUACUGUUGAGCUAGAGUAUGUGAGAGGAAGGUAGAAUUCCAGGUGUAGCGGUGAAAUGCGUAGAGAUCUGGAGGAAUACCGAUGGCGAA
rnacentral:rRNA from 1 species